rnacentral:rRNA from 1 species
CAGGACAACGCUGCGGCGUGCCUACACAUGCAAGUGAACGGAACUAGUUGAGGAAUCUUCGAAGGACGAUGGUAAGUUUAGUGGUCGGACGGGUGAGUAACGCGUGAGUAACCUGCCUCCGAGAGGGGAAUAACAAUCUGAAAAGAUUGCUAAUACCGCAUAACAUAGCGAAGUCGCAUGGCAGCGCUAUCAAGAUUAUCGCUCGGAGAUGGACUCGCGUCCGAUUAGUUAGUUGGUGAGGUAACGGCUCACCAAGACCGCGAUCGGUAGCCGGACUGAGAGGUUGAACGGCCACAUUGGGACUGAGACACGGCCCAGACUCCUACGGGAGGCAGCAGUGGGGGAUAUUGCGCAAUGGGGGAAACCCUGACGCAGCAACGCCGCGUGAAGGAUGAAGGUUUUCGGAUUGUAAACUUCCUUUAUUAAGGACGAAAAAAUGACGGUACUUAAUGAAUAAGCUCCGGCUAACUACGUG